GUUAAGUCAGGCAACGAGCGAGACCCACGCCAACAGUUGCCAGCUCGCCUCCGGGGAUGGAGGGGACACUGUUGGGACCGCUCUGCUAAAGAGGAGGAAGGAAUGGGCAACGGUAGGUCAGCAUGCCCCGAAUUAUCUGGGCUACACGCGGGCUACAAUGGGUGGGACAAUGGGUAUCGACACCGAAAGGUGAAGGCAAUCUCCUAAACCCAUCCUUAGUUCGGAUUGUGGGCUGCAACUCGCCCACAUGAAGCUGGAAUCUGUAGUAAUCGUGUUUCAAAAUAGCACGGUGAAUAUGUCCCUGCUCCUU
rnacentral:rRNA from 1 species